rnacentral:rRNA from 1 species
AUGUCCAACACAAAGAUGGCGGACGGUGACCAACACAGUGAGAAAAUUGCUGCCCUGGAGAAGGCGUUGCUCGAUGAGAGCGUGGAUCCAAUCGAUCUACCUUUCUCUCUACUCAAGUCCAUCACAGGGAAUUUCUGUGAAGCUCAAGAAAUUGGCAGGGGCGGGUAUGGAGCAGUCUACAAGGGAGUGCUUCCAAGUGGUCGCAUUAUUGCCGUGAAGAAGCUCUUCGAGAGGUUUGAGAUCCUGGACAAGAAUUUUGAGAGUGAGGUCGCAUGUCUUGUUGGGGUAAAGCACAAGAACACAUUGAGAUUCCUCGGGUACUGCUCUGAGACACAGCUCGUGGUAAUGCCAUACGACGGGAAGCUUGUAUGUGCAGAAGAACGGCAGAGGCUGCUCUGCUUCGAGUACAUAUGCAAAGGGAGCAUUGCUGACUAUCUCUCCGACGCUUCUUAUCAACUUCACUGGACUGCAAUAAUCAAGGGGAUAUGUGAGGGUGUACAUUAUCUUCAUCAGCAACGUAUUAUUCGCAUGGACCUCAAACCUCAAAAUGUAUUAUUGGAUGAUAAUAUGGUGCCCCGAAUUGCGGAUUUCGGUCUCUCACGGCGCUUAAGUGGAAGCCAGAGUCGGGUUAUUACUGAAAACAAGCUUGGGACGAUGGGAUAUAUGGCACCGGAAUUCUUAAAUCGUGGUGAAAUCACCUUCAAGACAGAUGUAUACAGUUUAGGUGUUAUAAUCAUGGAGAUCCUUAUGGGACAUAAGGAAUGCUCCAAUGUUGAGAAGGUAGUUGAAAGUUGGACGAACAAGUUUGGGGCAUCAAAGAACCAGACAUCACUCGAACAAGUAAAAGUAUGUGCUGAGAUAGGGAUUAAAUGCACCAACUAUGACCCUGGGAACAGGCCUGCUACAUGGUUUAUCGUCAGUGAAUUUGAAAAGAUGGUUGAACAGGAAACUUCAAGAAGGUCUGUUACAAGUGAUGAAGCUAUAACAGAAGGGCAAUCUACUGUUCGAGAGCGAGUUAUAACCAACACUGUCCUUGAGGAAUCUCGCUUACUCACAUCAUAUGAUAUACCAACUUUGUCUGCGGAGAAUUUAACGAUGAAGGAGCUACUGAUUGUUUGUGCUAAAGCUGUGGCGGACGACAAGGCCACCAACAUCUCUUGUUCAAGUAUCAGUCAGGACAUAAUUGUAGAGUUGAGGAAAAUGGUUUCAGUGUGUGGUGACCCACUCCAGAGGUUGGGAGCCUACAUGUUGGAGGCCCUUAUUGCCAGGAUUUUCUCAUCAGGACACUCGGUCUGCAAAGCCUUGGAGUCUGACGCUGAAGACUUCAUCUCAUACAGGAAUCUACUGUUUGAGUCCUGCCCCUACUUGAAGUUUGCUUACCUGUCGGCUACCGGCGCGAUUGCAGAGGCUACAAAUGGAGAAGAUAGGAUUCAUAUCAUCGAUUUCUCUAUCUGCGAUGGGGUUCAGUGGGUAACUCUCCUCCAGGCACUUGCGAGACGUGCUGGUGGUGCACCAGCUGUGAGGAUCACAGGAAUAGAUGACUCAGUACAAGCAUACACGCUAGGCAGAAGCAAGCUAGAGCUAGUUGGAAGGAGGCUGUCGCGUAUUGCUGGCGCAUGCAACGUCCCCUUUGAAUUCUGCGCGGUUGCCAUCACUGCAAGCCAAUUGAAGGCGGGCCACCUGGGUGUCAUCCGUGGUGAAGUUGUUGCGGUGAACUUCAACCUGGGGCUGCACAAAAUUUCUGAUGAUGAUGAGUCCUCUUUAAGCCAGCGAGACCGGAUCCUGAAACUGGCCAGGAGCUUGUCGCCCAGGUUAGUCACCCUUGUGGAGCAUGAGCUCAACACCAACGAAGCCACCACUUUCGCAGAUAGGUUCGCGGAGACGCUUGACUACUACACCGCUGUCUUCGAGUCCGUUGACUUAUCACUCCGGAGGGAUGCCAAUGAAAGGAUCGACAUGGAGCAGCACUGCCUCGGAAAGGACAUGGUGAACCUCAUUGCCUGUGAGGGCGCGGAAAGGGUGGAACGACACGAGCUCUUCGGCCAGUGGAAGGCGCGCCUCAUCAAGGCUGGCUUCACACCCUCUCCGCUCAGCUCGCACGUAAAUGACACCAUCAAGAAGAUGCUGCUGAGGUACAGUUGCCACUACCGGUUCGAAGAGAGGGACGGUGUGCUCUACCUCGGAUGGAAGGACAGGCCACUGGUGGUUACGUCCGCCUGGCAUUGA